AUACGUAGGUGGCAAGCGUUGUCCGGAAUUAUUGGGCGUAAAGCGCGCGCAGGCGGUCCUUUAAGUCUGAUGUGAAAGCCCACGGCUCAACCGUGGGGGGUCAUUGGAAACUGGGGGACUUGAGUGCAGAAGAGGAAAGUGGAAUUCCAAGUGUAGCGGGGAAAUGCGUAGAGAUUUGGAGGAACACCAGUGGCGAAGGCGACUUUCUGGUCUGUAACUGACGCUGAGGCGCGAAAGCGUGGGGAGCAAACAGGAUUAGAUACCCUGGUAGUCCACGCCGUAAACGAUGAGUGCUAAGUGUUAGGGGGUUUCCGCCCCUUAGUGCUGCAGCUAACGCAUUAAGCACUCCGCCUGGGGAGUACGGUCGCAAGACUGAAACUCAAAGGAAUUGACGGGG
rnacentral:rRNA from 1 species